rfam:Gasterosteus aculeatus cont1.011475, whole genome shotgun sequence.
CAAUGGGUUUAAUGUAAGUUGCUUUGGAUAAAAGCGUCUGCUAAAUGACAUGUA